AUUGAACGCUGGCGGCAGGCUUAACACAUGCAAGUCGAGCGGUAGCACAGGGGAGCUUGCUCCCUGGGUGACGAGCGGCGGACGGGUGAGUAAUGUCUGGGAAACUGCCUGAUGGAGGGGGAUAACUACUGGAAACGGUAGCUAAUACCGCAUAACGUCGCAAGACCAAAGAGGGGGACCUUCGGGCCUCUUGCCAUCAGAUGUGCCCAGAUGGGAUUAGCUAGUAGGUGGGGUAAUGGCUCACCUAGGCGACGAUCCCUAGCUGGUCUGAGAGGAUGACCAGACACACUGGAACUGAGACACGGUCCAGACUCCUACGGGAGGCAGCAGUGGGGAAUAUUGCACAAUGGGCGAAAGCCUGAUGCAGCCAUGCCGCGUGUGUGAAGAAGGCCUUCGGGUUGUAAAGCACUUUCAGCGAGGAGGAAGGUGGUGAACUUAAUACGUUCAUCAAUUGACGUUACUCGCAGAAGAAGCACCGGCUAACUCCGUG
rnacentral:rRNA from 1 species